rnacentral:rRNA from 1 species
AACGUAGGACGCAAGCGUUAUCCGGAGUUACUGGGCGUAAAGCGCGGGCAGGCGGUCACUCAAGUCUGAUGUGAAAUCUCUCCGCUCAACGGGGAGCAGCCAUUGGAAACUGGGCGACUGGAGUCUGGCAGAGGUAGGCGGAAUUCCGGGUGGAGUGGUGAAAUGCGUAGAUAUCGGGAGGAACACCAGUGGCGAAGGCGACUACCUGGCCUGUUCUUGACGCUGAGGCGCGAAAGCUAGGGGAGCAAACGGG